rnacentral:rRNA from 1 species
UGGGGAAUAUUGGACAAUGGGCGAAAGCCUGAUCCAGCCAUGCCGCGUGAGUGAAGAAGGCCUUUUGGUUGUAAAGCACUUUAAGCGAGGAGGAGGCCACUUGGAUUAAUACUCUAGGAUAGUGGACGUUACUCGCAGAAUAAGCACCGGCUAACUCAGUGCCAGCAGCCGCGGUAAUACAGAGGGUGCGAGCGUUAAUCGGAUUUACUGGGCGUAAAGCGUGCGUAGGCGGCUUUUUAAGUCGGAUGUGAAAUCCCUGAGCUUAACUUAGGAAUUGCAUUCGAUACUGUGAAGCUAGAGUAUGGGAGAGGAUGGUAGAAUUCCAGGUGUAGCGGUGAAAUGCGUAGAGAUCUGGAGGAAUACCGAUGGCGAAGGCAGCCAUCUGGCCUAAUACUGACGCUGAGUUACGAAAGCAUGGGGAGCAAACAGG